rnacentral:tRNA from 1 species
CCGAUGUAGCUCAGUGGUAGAGCGCGUCCUUGGUAAGGACGAGGCCGAGGGUUCAAUUCCCUUCAUUGG